rnacentral:rRNA from 1 species
GAUGAACGCUGGCGGCGUGCUUAACACAUGCAAGUCGAACGAAGCACUUAAGAUUGCUUCUUCGGAUGACGUCUUUUGUGACUUAGUGGCGGACGGGUGAGUAACGCGUGGGUAACCUGCCUCACACAGGGGGAUAACAGUUAGAAAUGACUGCUAAUACCGCAUAACCCGAUAGGAUCGCAUGAUCCAGACGGAAAAGAUUUAUCGGUGUGAGAUGGACCCGCGUCUGAUUAGCUAGUUGGUGAGGUAACGGCCCACCAAGGCGACGAUCAGUAGCCGGGCUGAGAGGGUGAACGGCCACAUUGGGACUGAGACACGGCCCAAACUCCUACGGGAGGCAGCAGUGGGGAAUAUUGCACAAUGGGGGAAACCCUGAUGCAGCGACGCCGCGUGAGUGAAGAAGUAUUUCGGUAUGUAAAGCUCUAUCAGCAGGGAAGAAAAUGACGGUACCUGACGAAGAAGCCCCGGCUAACUACGUG